UACGUAGGGUGCAAGCGUUGUCCGGAAUUAUUGGGCGUAAAGAGCUCGUAGGCGGUCUGUCGCGUCUGCUGUGAAAACCCGGGGCUCAACUCCGGGCCUGCAUUCGAUACGGGCAGACUAGAGUUCGGUAGGGGAGACUGGAAUUCCUGGUGUAGCGGUGAAAUGCGCAGAUAUCAGGAGGAACACCGGUGGCGAAGGCGGGUCUCUGGGCCGAUACUGACGCUGAGGAGCGAAAGCGUGGGGAGCGAACAGG
rnacentral:rRNA from 1 species